rnacentral:rRNA from 1 species
GAUGAACGCUGGCGGCGUGCCUAAUACAUGCAAGUCGAGCGAACAGAUAAGGAGCUUGCUCCUUUGACGUUAGCGGCGGACGGGUGAGUAACACGUGGGUAACCUACCUAUAAGACUGGAAUAACUCCGGGAAACCGGGGCUAAUGCCGGAUAACAUUUAGAACCGCAUGGUUCUAAAGUGAAAGAUGGUUUUGCUAUCACUUAUAGAUGGACCCGCGCCGUAUUAGCUAGUUGGUAAGGUAACGGCUUACCAAGGCAACGAUACGUAGCCGACCUGAGAGGGUGAUCGGCCACACUGGAACUGAGACACGGUCCAGACUCCUACGGGAGGCAGCAGUAGGGAAUCUUCCGCAAUGGGCGAAAGCCUGACGGAGAAACGCCGCGUGAGUGAUGAAGGUCUUCGGAUCGUAAAACUCUGUUAUUAGGGAAGAACAAAUGUGUAAGUAACUGUGCACGUCUUGACGGUACCUAAUCAGAAAGCCACGGCUAACUACGUG